UAGAGCCAGCUACCAGUUCUCAGUCCUGC
rnacentral:piRNA from 1 species